rfam:Glycine soja cultivar W05 scaffold3426_31, whole genome shotgun sequence.
UCAUAAAGAAACGUUGACGAUCAUGUGUCACAUUCUGAUUGUACAUGAAAAGGUACGUCCAAGAGCCAACUCUAACAUUUUUCUUUUUAUAGUCCAAUCAGAACGCAACACGUGGUCGUCACCAUUU